AUUGAACGCUGGCGGCAUGCCUUACACAUGCAAGUCGAACGGCAGCACGGGUGCUUGCACCUGGUGGCGAGUGGCGAACGGGUGAGUAAUACAUCGGAACGUACCUUAUCGGGGGGGAUAACGCAGCGAAAGCUGUGCUAAUACCGCAUACGCCCUGAGGGGGAAAGCGGGGGAUCGCAAGACCUCGCGCGAUUAGAGCGGCCGAUGCCUGAUUAGCUUGUUGGUGGGGUAAAAGCCCACCAAGGCGACGAUCAGUAGCUGGUCUGAGAGGACGAUCAGCCACACUGGGACUGAGACACGGCCCAGACUCCUACGGGAGGCAGCAGUGGGGAAUUUUGGACAAUGGGGGCAACCCUGAUCCAGCUAUGCCGCGUGAGUGAAGAAGGCCUUCGGGUUGUAAAGCUCUUUUGUCAGGGAAGAAACACCGGCUCUAACACAGUCUGGGAAUGACGGUACCUGAAGAAUAAGCACCGGCUAACUACGUGCCAGCAGCCGCCGUAU
rnacentral:rRNA from 1 species